rnacentral:rRNA from 1 species
UAGGGAAUCUUCCACAAUGGGCGCAAGCCUGAUGGAGCAACACCGCGUGAGUGAAGAAGGGUUUCGGCUCGUAAAACUCUGUUGUUAAAGAAGAACAUAUCUGAGAGUAACUGUUCAGGUAUUGACGGUAUUUAACCAGAAAGUCACGGCUAACUACGUGCCAG